rnacentral:rRNA from 1 species
UUCCGGUUGAUCCUGCCGGAGAUCACUGCUAUUGGGAUUCGACUAAGCCAUGCGAGUCGAGAGGGUUCGGCCCUCGGCUGACGGCUCAGUAACACGUGGAUAAUCUGCCCUUAGGUGGAGGAUAAUCUCGGGAAACUGAGGAUAAUACUCCAUAGAUCUAGGAUGCUGGAAUGCAUCUAGAUUGAAAGCUCCGGCGCCUAAGGAUGAGUCUGCGGACUAUCAGGUUGUAGUCAGGGUAAAGACCUGACUAGCCUACGACGGAUACGGGUUGUGAGAGCAAUAACUCGGAGACGAUAUCUGAGACACGAUAUCGGGCCCUACGGGGCGCAGCAGGCGCGAAAACUUCACACUGUGCGAAAGCACGAUGAGGGAAUCCCAAGUGUUUGCUCGUAAGAGUAAACUGUUUCUUUGUUUAAAACGCAGAGAGAGUAAGGGCUGGGUAAGACGGGUGCCAGCCGCCGCGGUAAUACCUGCAGCUCAAGUGGUGAUCAUUAUUAUUGGGCCUAAAACGUCCGUAGCCUGUUUAGUAAAUGCCUGGGUAAAUCGUGUAGCUUAACUAUGCGACUUCCGGGUAGACUACUAAACUUGAGACCGGGAGAGGCUAGAGGUACUCCUGGGGUAGAGGUGAAAUUCUGUAAUCCUAGGGGGACCACCAGUGGCGAAGGCGUCUAGCUAGAACGGGUCUGACGGUGAGGGACGAAGCCCUGGGGCACAAACCGGAUUAGAUACCCGGGUAGUCCAGGGUGUAAACGCUGCUUGCUUGAUGUUAGUUGGGCUCCGAGCCCAAUUAGUGUCGGAGAGAAGUUGUUAAGCAAGCUGCCUGGGAAGUACGGUCGCAAGGCUGAAACUUAAAGGAAUUGGCGGGGGAGCACAGCAACGGGUGGAGCGUGCGGUUUAAUUGGAUUCAAC